rnacentral:rRNA from 1 species
AGGCCAGACUCCUACGGGAGGCAGCAGUGAGGAAUAUUGGUCAAUGGCCGCAGGGCUGAACCAGCCAAGUCGCGUGAGGGAUGACGGUCCUAUGGAUUGUAAACCUCUUUUGUCAGGGAGCAAAGGGCGCCACGUGUGGCGUUUUGCGAGUACCUGAAGAAAAAGCAUCGGCUAACUCCGUGCCAGCAGCCGCGGUAAUACGGAGGAUGCGAGCGUUAUCCGGAUUUAUUGGGUUUAAAGGGUGCGCAGGCGGAAUGUCAAGUCAGCGGUAAAAUUUCGGGGCUCAACCCCGUCGUGCCGUUGAAACUGGGGGGCUUGAGUAUGUUUGAGGCAGGCGGAAUGCGUGGUGUAGCGGUGAAAUGCAUAGAUAUCGCGCAGAACUCCGAUUGCGAAGGCAGCAUGCCGGCUCCACACUGACGCUGAGGCACGAAAGCGUGGGUAUCGAACAGGAUUAGAUACCCUAGUAC